rnacentral:lncRNA from 1 species
GUUUACAACUCGCAUUAAUCGAAUAUUUGCUCGAACUAACUGAAAAAUGGAAUCAAUUUUAUAAGUCGCACUAAUCGAAAUCGGAUUAUUCGAACUCGUGAAAAUAAUCUUUUUUUAUUUUGAGAGCUGAAUUUUGAGGCCCCCUUGAUUUAUGAGGCCUAAGGCGCGCGCCUUGUGCGCCUAUUCGGAAAUCCGCCACUGCAUUGACAUAUUCUUUAUGAUAGUUAAAGGCUUUGUUAAAUAUGGAUAUUAUGUAUAUCCCUGUAUCUUUACUUUCAUUAAAUUUCUUUUUUCAUUUCUGAGCUUACUAUACAAAGUCAAAUGUCUUGGAAUCACAAAUUUGAUAUUUAAUUUAGCAGCAGUUCUUUUUGAUAUAUUAUACACUAGACUGUUACCUAAGAG